rnacentral:rRNA from 1 species
AUUGAACGCUGGCGGCAGGCUUAACACAUGCAAGUCGAGCGAGCGGCGGACGGGUGAGUAAUGUCUGGGAAACUGCCUGAUGGAGGGGGAUAACUACUGGAAACGGUAGCUAAUACCGCAUACCAUCAGAUGUGCCCAGAUGGGAUUAGCUAGUAGGUGGGGUAAGGGCUCUCCAAGCCGACGAUCUCUAGCUGGUCUGAGAGGAUGACCGGCCACCCUGGGACUGAGGAACGGCCCAGAGUCCUGCGGGAGGCAGGAGGGGGGAAUUGUGCACAAUGGGCGCAGGCCGGAUGCAGCCAUGCGGGGUGUAUGAAGAAGGCUUUAGGGUUGUAAAGUGCUUUCAGCGGGGAGGCGUUACCCGCAGAAGAAGCACCGGCUAACUCCGUGCCAGCCGCCGCGGUAAUU